CUGCUGAGGACUGCUGCUGUGCUUCUGUACUUGAAGCUUUCUGGGCUUGUUUGUGGCCGGUUGCAGUCUGUGUUUGAGGUUUUAGAAAUGGGAGAAAGCAACCAGGUGCUGAAGCUGAGAUCUGAGGAACAUGGUUCGAAGCUAGCCCAGGCAGGAAA